CGCUGCAAAGCGGCUUUUUGGGACGCCAGCGGCUGAGUUCUUCCUUUGACAAGAUGGCGGCAGGAGGCAGUGGUGUUGGUGGGAAGCGCAGCUCGAAAAGCGAUGCCGAUUCUGGUUUCCUGGGGCUGCGGCCCACUUCGGUGGACCCAGCGCUGAGGCGGCGGCGGCGAGGCCCAAGAAAUAAGAAGCGGGGCUGGCGGCGGCUUGCUCAGGAGCCGCUGGGGCUGGAGGUUGACCAGUUCCUGGAAGACGUGCGGCUACAGGAGCGCACGAGCGGUGGCUUGUUGUCAGAGGCCCCAAAUGAAAAACUCUUCUUCGUGGACACUGGCUCCAAGGAAAAAGGGCUGACAAAGAAGAGAACCAAGGUCCAGAAGAAGUCACUGCUUCUCAAGAAGCCCCUUCGGGUUGACCUCAUCCUCGAGAACACAUCCAAAGUCCCUGCCCCCAAAGACGUCCUCGCCCACCAGGUCCCCAAUGCCAAGAAGCUCAGGCGGAAGGAGCAGCUAUGGGAGAAGCUGGCCAAGCAGGGCGAGCUGCCCCGGGAGGUGCGCAGGGCCCAGGCCCGGCUCCUCAACCCUUCCGCAGCAAGGGCCAAGCCCGGGCCCCAGGACACCGUAGAGCGGCCCUUCUACGACCUCUGGGCCUCAGACAACCCCCUGGACAGGCCGUUGGUUGGCCAGGAUGAGUUUUUCCUGGAGCAGACCAAGAAGAAAGGAGUGAAGCGGCCAGCACGCCUGCACACCAAGCCGUCCCAGGCACCCGCUGUGGAGGUGGCGCCUGCCGGAGCUUCCUACAAUCCAUCCUUUGAAGACCACCAGACCCUGCUCUCAGCGGCCCACGAGGUGGAGUUGCAGCGGCAGAAGGAGGCGGAGAAGCUGGAGCGGCAGCUGGCCCUGCCCACCACGGAGCAGGCCGCCACCCAGGAGUCCACAUUCCAGGAGCUGUGCGAGGGGCUGCUGGAGGAGUCGGAUGGUGAGGGGGAGCCAGGCCAGGGCGAGGGGCCGGAGGCUGGGGAUGCCGAGGUCUGUCCCACGCCCGCCCGCCUGGCCACCACAGAGAAGAAGACGGAGCAGCAGCGGCGGCGGGAGAAGGCUGCGCACAGGCUGCGGGUACAGCAGGCCGCGUUGCGGGCCGCCCGGCUCCGGCACCAGGAGCUGUUCCGGCUGCGCGGGAUCAAGGCCCAGGUGGCCCUGAGGCUGGCGGAGCUGGCGCGGCGGCGGAGGCAGCGGCAGGCGCGGCGGGAGGCCGAGGCUGACAAGCCCCGAAGGCUGGGGCGGCUCAAGUACCAGGCACCUGACAUCGACGUGCAGCUGAGCUCGGAGCUGACAGACUCGCUCAGGACCCUGAAGGUGCUCAUUGUGUCCUGCCGUGGAGCCCCGUGCCCAGUGAUGACACCAUCCUUGCUCCCCGUGCCCCCCAGGGGCUAUGGGCGACACCAUGGCUGCCCCUGGGCUGGGCCAGUGGGGCCAAUGCCCAGGGACUGAGGGCACGGGAUGCUGGGAUGAGAUCCCAGGGUGAGGGGCCAGGCUAAGGUUUGAGUCUGGGACCCUAAGAAGGCCUUUCCUUCCAGCUGGUCCCUGUUGCAGUCCCGGUCACCAUUAGGACUAGAGGGACCUUCCUGAAGCUCAGAACCAACCCUGUCCCUCCCCUGCUCAGAACCUGCUGUGGCUCCCCAGUGCCCCUGAGGAAGCCCAGCUCCUCUGUCAGCCACACACCUGGGCCGACCCGGCUGUGGGGCUCCAGCCAGCUGUGCUCAUGAGUGGACUGUGCCUUCUCCCUCUGAUCCAGCCUUUGCCCUUGCUGUCCCCUUUUCUGUGUCGUCACCAGCCCACUUCCCGCGACUCCUCUGUCGUCACCAGCCCACUUCCCGCGACUCCUCUAAGCCCAGCUUAGAGAUGGCCAUAGCCCGAGGGCAACAUCCUUCGAGACCGGUUCAAGAGCUUCCAGAGGAGGAAUAUGAUCGAGCCUCGAGAGAGAGCCAAGUUCAAACGCAAGUACAAGGUGAAGCUGGUGGAGAAGCGGGCGUUCCGCGAGAUCCAGUUGUAGCUGCCAUCAGAUGCCGGAGACUUGCCCUUCAAUAAAAAAUCCCUUCUAGCUAA